AUACCGCAUAAUACCUACGGGUCAAAGCAGCAAUGCGUUUGGAGAGGAGUUCGCGGUCGAUUAGUUAGUUGGCGGGGUAAUGGCCCACCAAGACGAUGAUCGAUAUCCGGCCUGAGAGGGCGCACGGACACACUGGAACUGAAACACGUUCCAGAUUCCUACGGGAGGCAGCAGUGGGGAAUUUUGCGCAAUGGGGGAAACCCUGACGCAGCAACGCCGCGUGGAGGAUGAAAUAUCUUGGUAUGUAAACUCCUUUCGAUGGGGAAGAUAAUGACGGUACCCAUAGAAGAAGCCCCGGCUAACUUCGUGCCAGCAGCCGCGGUAAUACGAGGGGGGCAAGCGUUGUUCGGAAUUAUUGGGCGUAAAGGGUGCGUAGGCGGUUUGACAAGUCAUCUGUGAAAUCUCUGGGCUCAACCCAGAGUCUGCAGGCGAAACUGUCGGGCUUGAGUAUGGGAGAGGUGAGUGGAAUUUCCGGUGUAGCGGUGAAAUGCGUAGAUAUCGGAAGGAACACCUGUGGCGAAAGCGGCUCACUGGACCAUAACUGACGCUGAUGCACGAAAG
rnacentral:rRNA from 1 species